rnacentral:hammerhead_ribozyme from 1 species
GCUCUACUGACGAGUCCUACAAUAAGACGAAACGCUUGUCCAGUGC